CCCAGGUUAGUUCUUUUCUUUCUUAGUUUUCUUCACUCAGUUUCAGAGGUUUGCUUUUGCUUGGAAGCAGUCGACUAUGGACUUCUGAGAACAAAUGACUUGUUGCCUAGGGGGCUGAGUCGUCUCCCUAAAGCUUUCUGACAGCGCAGGUCCCUGGUACCAUGACCCUUGUGCCCCUGCCUUCUGUGGCUCUGUCCCUUGUCUUGGUUCAUUCCAACCUCACCAGGGUGAUGGCAUUGGAAUGGGGCCUGCGGGCUAAGGAUUUGGUAAGUGGAGAAUGAGGGGAAGGAUAUUUCAGGCUGAAGGAAUGUUAUAAACAAAGACAAGAGGGAUGGAAUUACAAGACACGUUAUGUGAGCCACAGAAGUCCAACAGUGCGGCUGAGAAGAAGAAACGAGACUGAAAAAGUCAUUUGUCAUCAGUCCUAAAGAGCCCACUCAGGAGUUUGGGCUUAUUUCAGGAAACAUGGAGUGUGUAAAUACGAGGCACAGCGUCAGAAGUGUUCUAUCCCCUGUUUGUAUCUCUAGACUGGUUUAUUUCCUGGUCAAAGACAGGGAAAGGCAAGCAGUGUGUAGCAAGCUGAAGAGUUUGACAAAUCUGCCCGACCUCGUGCCUGGGGAACCGAGGUAACAGCUGCAUAGACAUGAGCACACUGGGAACCAGGAAGAGGUCCUCUCAGACUGAGCUGCGGAGGUCUGAUUUUUCUUUCCUUGCUUUCUGAGGUGUUGACACUGGCUAUCCAGGUGUGGAAUCUUCAGUGGUGACAUAUGAGCUCAGGGACUUCACCAGAGCCGAAGGCGGCCAUGUGGUUGUGAAAAGGCACUAUAAAUGAGGCUGGUUCCUUCUUGAAUACUAUGUCCCUCCUGCCCCCGCUUAACCACCUUCAUAUCUCUUACUCGGGGAAUGAUUCUGAUCUUCCAGAGUGACUGUUGUGACUGGCUAAAGAAAGCAACCGUUCAGUUCCUAAGACAUGACCAUUUUGAAUGGGCACCGAGACACUUUCCAUCCAACAGGGAACAUUUUAACCUUCUUAAGUGGCUGAAAAGCUAACUAUCCCUGAUAGGUGAUCAGCGUGAUCCUCUGUCAUUAAUUUAGCCUCUGGCUGCUUUGAUUUCAGAAUGAUAUCAGAGAACUUGGUGGAGAAGGCCCUGCACCAGCCCACAGAGGAGCUUCCCCAGGCUGCCUCUGGUUAAAAUAGAUGUAUUGGAUCAGGUUAAAAGACUUGCUGCCCAGCCCUGGCUUAAAAGUCUAAGACAAAGAUUUAACAAGGAGGAAAACAGAAGAAGGUGGUGUGAGGGUUCUUUUUUUUUUAAAAGAAAAAUGAAUUAAGUAUGGACAUUUACUUUGAAGAGACACUGAAUUGCGCAUAGCAGAAAGGCGAAAGGGGAGUAGAGGUGUCUCAGUGUUUGCUGCCAUGUCUCAGCUGGCUGGCUCUACUAAGACUUGAAUACUCCACUCAAGAAGGCUGUGCUUGAGGCUGCCUGGCCCACUCUUCUUGGAAGUCAGACUCCAAUAAUGCUCUCAGGAGGUCUCAGCCUCACCCCAAGUG